GCCAAGAAAGCCAUGACAAAUAUGGUGCCAAAGAAUAAAAGGCAGUUUUACUUUAUUAAUGACUUAUGCUGACAUAGACUCCUAACCUAUUUACCCAUCCACUUCUAAGGUUAAAGUCUGACCUCAUAAAUUCCUUUUGAGAAUCCUCUAAUUGAUUUUAGCCCUUAGCUGACCCUACCAGAGAUUUCCCAUUAGUCACUCCCUUUUGGGGGUUGUGAAGAAAGCCUGACAGUCACUGCCUGGUGUAAACUCUUAUCUGUCUUUAUGACCCUGAAAGAAUUCAAUCCUUGUGACCUUGCCUUGGCCAGAGAAUUGCUGAUUGUCGGUGUAUGUAAACUGGAAACUUCAGAGACUUGAGGAAGAAUGAAGAUGGAAAGAACUAAGAUAGAACAAUGAGAGAACAGCGGAAGAAGGGACAGAGAGGAGCUAAAACCAUCCUCAUGUACGGAGUUAAGUGAAUUCAGAAGAUAUUGUGGAACUCCUAUUGAAACAAGGUAUUGACCACAUCUUCAAGGAUGCAUUUGAAUAAAGCAUAAUCUAGUAUGCUAGUAAAA